ensembl:lncRNA
GUGGUAGGACUAUAGAAGUGGUAGGUCUAUAGAAGUGGUAGGUCUGUAGAAGUGGUAGGUCUAUAGAAGUAGUAGGUCUGUAGAAGUGGUAGGUCUGUAGAAGUAGUAGGUCUAUAGAAGUGGUAGGUCUGUAGAAGUGGUAGGUCUGUAGAAGUGGUAGGUCUGUAGAAGUGGUAGGUCUAUAGAAGUAGUAGGUCUAUAGAAGUAGUAGGUCUAUAGAAGUGGUAGGUCUGUAGAAGUGGUAGGUCUAUAGAAGUGGUAGGUCUAUAGAAGUGGUAGGUCUGUAGAAGUGGUAGGUCUAUAGAAGUGGUAGGUCUGUAGAAGUGGUAAGGUCUAUAGUAGUGGUAAGGUCUAUAGAAGUGGUACAGUAGGUAUAUAGAAGUGGUACAGUAGGUCUAUAGAAUUGGUAGGUCAAUA